ACUCGGAGAAUUCUCGACACAACACGAGGUCCACACCGCUCGUCUCCCUCGAUUCCUUCUCGCUCCGUCUCUAUGCCGCAGCUCCGCUCGCACGCCGCCGUCUAGCAUUCUCUCCCCUCCGCCGUCUAGCUCGCCCUCGCUGCUCCCCUCCUCCAUCUAGCUCCCCCGCGCUGCUCCCCUCCACCGUCUAGCUCCCCGCGCUGCUGCCGACUACGAAGACACCGCUGGCCAAGGAGGAGCUCCAGGUCGCCAUCCUCAUUCUUCACCGACGACGCGGAAGCACCGGAGAGGAGAUGGCGGGCCAGGGGAACGGGCACUUCUCCACAUCGCCUUCGGCGACCUCGUUCACGACGAGCUCGCAUCCAUAGGGCCGCAGGUGAGGAUGUACGUUCCUGUCUGCAGUAGCUCAUUCCCGAAGAUGAGUAACUGAAUGAUUUAGGUGAGGAUCUCCGUUCAUGCCUGCAGUAACAAAUGGGUAACAGAAUGAUUUGGGUGAGUUGGACAUGUCAUGCCCUAUGUUGGGAUGUUGCAUAUCUCUAUCGUGGAACAACAAUUGCUGUUUGCCCGUGAAUGAAAAUGAUUUAGCAAGUUC